rnacentral:rRNA from 1 species
CCCUACGGGGUGCAGCAGUCGCGAAAACUCCGCAAUGCACGAAAGUGUGACGGGGCUACCCCGAGUGCUCUCCGCUGAGGAAAGCUUUUCUCUGGUGUAACAAGCCAGGGGAAUAAGGAGAGGGCAAGACUGGUGUCAGCCGCCGCGGUAAUACCAGCUCUCCGAGUGGUAGGGAUGAUUAUUGGGCUUAAAGCGUCCGUAGCCGGCUUAGCAAGUCUCCUGUUAAAUUCAGCGACCUAAUCGUUGAGCCGCGGGAGAUACUACUAGGCUAGGAGGCGGGAGAGGUAGACGGUACUCGGUAGGAAGGGGUAAAAUCCUUUGAUCUAUUGAUGACCACCUGUGGCGAAGGCGGUCUACCAGAACACGUUCGACGGUGAGGGAUGAAAGCUGGGGGAGCAAACCGGAUUAGAUACCCGGGUAGUCCCAGCUGUAAACGAUGCAAACUCGAUGAUGCGUUGGCUUGUUGCUAGCGCAGUGUCGCAGGGAAGCCGUUAAGUUUGCCGCCUGGGAAGUACGUACGCAAGUAUGAAACUUAAAGGAAUUGGCGGGGGAGCACCACAAGGGGUGAAGCCUGCGGUUCAAUUGGAGUCAACGCCUGAAACCUUACCCGGAGAGACAGCAGAAUGAAGGUCAAGCUGAAGACUUUACCAGACAAGCUGAGAAGUAGUGCAUGGCC